rnacentral:rRNA from 1 species
GAAUGCUGACAUAAGUAACGAUAAAGCGGGUGAAAAGCCCGCUCGCCGGAAGACCAAGGGUUCCUGUCCAACGUUAAUCGGGGCAGGGUGAGUCGACCCCUAAGGCGAGGCCGAAAGGCGUAGUCGAUGGGAAACAGGUUAAUAUUCCUGUACUUGGUGUUACUGCGAAGGGGGGACGGAGAAGGCUAUGUUGGCCGGGCGACGGUUGUCCCGGUUUAAGCGUGUAGGCUGGUUUUCCAGGCAAAUCCGGAAAAUCAAGGCUGAGGCGUGAUGACGAGGCACUACGGUGCUGAAGCGACAAAUGCCCUGCUUCCAGGAAAAGCCUCUAAGCAUCAGGUAACAUCAAAUCGUACCCCAAACCGACACAGGUGGUCAGGUAGAGAAUACCAAGGCGCUUGAGAGAACUCGGGUGAAGGAACUAGGCAAAAUGGUGCCGUAACUUCGGGAGAAGGCACGCUGAUAUGUAGGUGAAGCGACUUGCUCGUGGAGCUGAAAUCAGUCGAAGAUACCAGCUGGCUGCAACUGUUUAUUAAAAACACAGCACUGUGCAAACACGAAAGUGGACGUAUACGGUGUGACGCCUGCCCGGUGCCGGAAGGUUAAUUGAUGGGGUUAGCGGUAACGCGAAGCUCUUGAUCGAAGCCCCGGUAAACGGCGGCCGUAACUAUAACGGUCCUAAGGUAGCGAAAUUCCUUGUCGGGUAAGUUCCGACCUGCACGAAUGGCGUAAUGAUGGCCAGGCUGUCUCCACCCGAGACUCAGUGAAAUUGAACUCGCUGUGAAGAUGCAGUGUACCCGCGGCAAGACGGAAAGACCCCGUGAACCUUUACUAUAGCUUGACACUGAACAUUGAGCCUUGAUGUGUAGGAUAGGUGGGAGGCUUUGAAGUGUGGACGCCAGUCUGCAUGGAGCCGACCUUGAAAUACCACCCUUUAAUGUUUGAUGUUCUAACGUGGGCCCCUUACCGGGGUUGCGGACAGUGUCUGGUGGGUAGUUUGACUGGGGCGGUCUCCUCCUAAAGAGUAACGGAGGAGCACGAAGGUUGGCUAAUCCUGGUCGGACAUCAGGAGGUUAGUGCAAUGGCAUAAGCCAGCUUGACUGCGAGCGUGACGGCGCGAGCAGGUGCGAAAGCAGGUCAUAGUGAUCCGGUGGUUCUGAAUGGAAGGGCCAUCGCUCAACGGAUAAAAGGUACUCCGGGGAUAACAGGCUGAUACCGCCCAAGAGUUCAUAUCGACGGCGGUGUUUGGCACCUCGAUGUCGGCUCAUCACAUCCUGGGGCUGAAGUAGGUCCCAAGGGUAUGGCUGUUCGCCAUUUAAAGUGGUACGCGAGCUGGGUUUAGAACGUCGUGAGACAGUUCGGUCCCUAUCUGCCGUGGGCGCUGGAGAACUGAGGGGGGCUGCUCCUAGUACGAGAGGACCGGAGUGGACGCAUCACUGGUGUUCGGGUUGUCAUGCCAAUGGCACUGCCCGGUAGCUAAAUGCGGAAGAGAUAAGUGCUGAAAGCAUCUAAGCACGAAACUUGCCCCGAGAUGAGUUCUCCCUGACUCCUUGAGAGUCCUGAAGGAACGUUGAAGACGACGACGUUGAUA